GGGGUGGUAGCUCAGUUGGUCAGAGCCGCGGACUUUUAAUCCGCCGGUCGUGGGUUCGAGUCCCACUCACCCCACCA
rnacentral:tRNA from 2 species